AGAGUUUGAUCCUGGCUCAGGACGAACGCUGGCGGCGUGCCUAAUACAUGCAAGUAGAACGCUGAAGGAGGAGCUUGCUUCUCUGGAUGAGUUGCGAACGGGUGAGUAACGCGUAGGUAACCUGCCUGGUAGCGGGGGAUAACUAUUGGAAACGAUAGCUAAUACCGCAUAAGAGUAGAUGUUGCAUGACAUUUGCUUAAAAGGUGCACUUGCAUCACUACCAGAUGGACCUGCGUUGUAUUAGCUAGUUGGUGGGGUAACGGCUCACCAAGGCGACGAUACAUAGCCGACCUGAGAGGGUGAUCGGCCACACUGGGACUGAGACACGGCCCAGACUCCUACGGGAGGCAGCAGUAGGGAAUCUUCGGCAAUGGACGGAAGUCUGACCGAGCAACGCCGCGUGAGUGAAGAAGGUUUUCGGAUCGUAAAGCUCUGUUGUAAGAGAAGAACGAGUGUGAGAGUGGAAAGUUCACACUGUGACGGUAUCUUACCAGAAAGGGACGGCUAACUACGUGCCAGCAGCCGCGGUAAUACGUAGGUCCCGAGCGUUGUCCGGAUUUAUUGGGCGUAAAGCGAGCGCAGGCGGUUAGAUAAGUCUGAAGUUAAAGGCUGUGGCUUAACCAUAGUAGGCUUUGGAAACUGUUUAACUUGAGUGCAAGAGGGGAGAGUGGAAUUCCAUGUGUAGCGGUGAAAUGCGUAGAUAUAUGGAGGAACACCGGUGGCGAAAGCGGCUCUCUGGCUUGUAACUGACGCUGAGGCUCGAAAGCGUGGGGAGCAAACAGGAUUAGAUACCCUGGUAGUCCACGCUGUAAACGAUGAGUGCUAGGUGUUAGACCCUUUCCGGGGUUUAGUGCCGUAGCUAACGCAUUAAGCACUCCGCNCCUUUUCUGAGGAUUAGGGUAGCGUGUCAAGAGUUGGUAGGUAUAUUCUGAAUGCUUUCCAACGAUUUUAUCCAACUCAGGAAAGAUGAUAUCAAGACAACGAGUGUAUUGUACUUUCCAAUCAGACUGUUUUUCUUGAGACGAUGAAUAUGUCUAGCCAGUAUUUUUAGUUCUACUUGCCGAUUAUCGUGUUGAAAUUGUUCACGAUUGGGGUCAGAAAGAAGUUUAAGAGCGAUGCCAUGAGCGUCUUUCUUAUCCGUUUUAGUCUUGCGAAGUGAUAAUGAUUUGGCAAAUUCCUUGAUGAGCAAAGGAUUGCAGGUGUAAACUUUAUAUCCUUGUUCAUGCAGGAAGUUCAGUAGAUUAAAGGCAU
rnacentral:rRNA from 1 species